AACGAACGCUGGCGGCAGGCCUAACACAUGCAAGUCGAACGCACCGCAAGGUGAGUGGCGCACGGGUGAGUAACACGUGGGAAUGAACCCUUUGGUUCGGAAUAACGUUUGGAAACGAACGCUAAUACCGGAUGAGCCCUGCGGGGGAAAGAUUUAUCGCCAAAGGAGCAGCCCGCGUCUGAUUAGCUAGUUGGUGGGGUAAAGGCCUACCAAGGCGACGAUCAGUAGCUGGUCUGAGAGGAUGAUCAGCCACACUGGGACUGAGACACGGCCCAGACUCCUACGGGAGGCAGCAGUGGGGGAAUAUUGGACAAUGGGCGAAAGCCUGAUCCAGCAAUGCCGCGUGAGUGAUGAAGGCCUUAGGGUUGUAAAGCUCUUUUACCCG
rnacentral:rRNA from 1 species